AAAUGACGUAAAACCAGUCCCUAACUACUAUAUUCAGGCAUUCCAGUGAAAGAAAGCCUUUGACCUGUUGUGCAACGACACAUGGUCAGCCAACAGGCCUCUCACUUUAUUAUUACAUUCACCAACAGCUGAACCUGUUUAGGACAUUCCUCCAAUGGCUUAACUGAUACCUAACUCAACUGAUAGCCUUAAGAACUGUGUGCAAGAAGCACGUUAUAAAGAUUAAUACAAGUGAAAGUUCACUUUUUUUUCAGCGACAGACACUUAAUACUAGUAUAGCCUACUGCUUAGAGAAUAUGAGAUAGUGACCAGAAAACACUUACUUAGCACUUUUAAAGCAACAAAAUCAGGGAUGUAAUAACACCAGAGUAUACCGUCAUGUUGAUUUAAAAUGUACUUUUAGAUUUUGAAUGUAUUAAAAGCAUUCAAGCCUCAGGGCGAUAGAGUGUUUGUCCACCCAGAGUGGAGCAACAACAAUUACAAGAAUGAAAAUAACAAACAGUUAUAUGCUAGUGCAUUGAUACAAAUACAUUCAACAAGGCUAUUCAGAAAUCAUUGUGAUGUACAUUGGUGUGUGUAAAUCAUAACACUUUUUGCCAUUUAUUUUAUUUGUGUCCAAGUUAAACAGAUCUUAGCAUUCAGAGAGUUAAUUGAUAAUAAAAUCCUGUUGAAUUUAGUCUCUGAUGUUGCAGCAUUCAUAUCAAGGAACAUAAAUAACAGCUUCAAAAGGCACAGCAUAGCAUUUACAAAGAAAAUGAAUUAAACAGUAAAAUAUACAUUACAGUUUCAUUCUUUUAUCUCUUGUCUAAAUGUCUUAAGGAAACAAACCUUUACAUGGCAGAUUAUGCACAUAUAAAUUAAUAACAGCAAUAGAGUAAUGCAUGGACAAUGUAGAUAAGGAAUAUGGGUAUUUUGAAUGGCAAGAUGUUAAUGAAUUGAUAUCAACCUCUGCACUGCAUUAAAAUGACAUACAAUGACAUAUAAAGGCUGAUAACUUUGAACAAGUUUCUUCCAAGGCAUCAUGAUUUACACGCUCUUUGACGGGCGGGGCAGCACCAGCCUCAGCCCGAUGUCGACCACACAGCUGGGCAUGUAGGAGAGGGGGAUCCAGAGCAGCUUGGCGUCCCAGCCCGGGCUGUACCUGGUGCGAGGGUAGGCCGCCGUCAGAGCAUGCUCCAUGCAGCCGGUCACCUUGGAGAGCUGGCUUGGACUUCAGGGGUGAGCUGGUUCCACAGGCGGUGCAGCUCCCUCUCCAGGGGGUCCAGGCUCGUCACCGCAGUCUUGAAAAAUCCUGGCUCAAUGAUGCACACAUUGAUUCCAAAGUAGUUUAUAUCUCUCCUGAAAACAGAAAUGUUACAUAGAAUACCAUCGUACAUUCAAUCUCUAAAGAAGUAAUCAUUAAACUGAUGAAAUAAUCCUUAUUUGGAAGCGUUAUUGUUAACUGAAUCAUUUGUUUAUAGUGAAAAACGUUUGCUUAAACAUGACAUGUGAUUAUUAAUGUGAAAUGUACAUUGGCUGAAAGAGUGUAAAGCCUGUGAGAAUCUUUCUUCCUACAGAUACAUACUCUUGGCACUUGAUGGAAGCAUUGUCUCUCUGUUGUACAACAAUACAUUUUAGCUUCAAUUA